UACCGGCUAGCUCAGUCGGUAGAGCAUGAGACUCUUAAUCUCAGAGUCGUGGGUUCGGGCCCCAUGUUGGGUGCCAA